UAUAAAUUCACAGUGACAAUUUUUUCAUGGCUUAUUAAAAGCUGGAAUGUAGAGAAUAGAGAAGGCUCUGAUAUAUAAGGAAAAAAGUGCCGGGCGCGGUGGCUCAAGCCUGUAAUCCCAG